rnacentral:lncRNA from 1 species
CACAAUAUCAUUAUCCUAUCUGUUGGAACAAUCAAUGAAAGAUUUUGCAUUUAAAAAAUAAAUCAAAUAGAAUGAAUAAACCACUUUCCAGACAUGAACAUAAAAAAAUAAAGUAGCACUUUCAAUAUUUUGGGUUCAAAAUUCACAUUUCCAGAAUACAACAAUACCUUAUUUUUAACUAGAACUCUACAAUAGUAUAGGAUAAAAGAUGUUUAUAAAUGAUAUUUGGUGUUGAAAUGCCAAGAUUCUUGGCAUGUAUAUAUGUAACCUUAAUGAUGUUAAAACUUUGGUGGAAAGUAAUUUAUGAUGAUCAUGUGUAAGACUUGAGCAUGGCUCCACAGAAAGUGCACAUGAUAGCCUUCCAAGAUUUGCAAUAGAAAGGAACAUAGCAAAAUCUGGUUUGAGUAAUCAUGUCUGCAACACUGGCACCUCCGCCGCACCGCGAGCACGACCCGGCCACCGGCUUGCUCCGCUUCACUUUCUUCGUCUGAUCCACCAGAAAACAAAAGCAAACCAUGCCUGCUUCUGGUCCAACGUUGUUGUCGUGUUGCAACUGAAUCUUUCGUUUCUGAUUUUCUGAACCCUCUCUUACGUUGUUUGGUUGCUAAAAGGAAUUAAUGGUGUCUUUGCUUUUUGAUUUGGUUUUAUAGAGGGAACAGCGUUAAAAGGUCAACUGGUAUGGGC